rnacentral:rRNA from 1 species
CAGUCGCCGCGGUAAUACGUAGGGUGCAAGCGUUAAUCGGAAUUACUGGGCGUAAAGCGUGCGCAGGCGGUUAUAUAAGACAGAUGUGAAAUCCCCGGGCUCAACCUGGGAACUGCAUUUGUGACUGUAUAGCUAGAGUACGGCAGAGGGGGAUGGAAUUCCGAGUGUAGCAGUGAAAUGCGUAGAUAUGCGGAGGAACACCGAUGGCGAAGGCAAUCCCCUGGGCCUGUACUGACGCUCAUGCACGAAAGCGUGGGGAGCAAACAGGAUUAGAUACCCCGGUAGUCCCUGUCUCUUAUAC